UACAACAACAAUAUAAUAAAAUUAUUCUCAGAAAAUCUUUUGGAGCAUACACAUGGAUCAGAAUAGGUCGUUAUGUAUGUUUGACUUUUCAUGAAUGAGUCAAACUUCAUGUACCACUGCCUUGGUGUCUGCUUUAAUCCAUAAAGANNGAUCAGAAUAGGUCUUUAUGUAUGUUUGACUUUUCAUGAAUGAGUCAAACUUCAUGUACCACUGCCUUGGUGCCUGCUUUAAUCCAUAAAGACUCUUAUUUAAUUUGCACACCAUGUGUUUCUUUCCAGCUACUUCAAAUUCUUCUGGCUUCUCCAUAUAAAUCUCUUUUCAAAUCUCCGUGAAGAAAUGCAGUUUUCACAUCCAACUGAUCCACUUUAAGAUCUAGGCUAGCUGCUAAGCUCAAAAUUGUUCGAAUAGAAGUCAUUUUGACAACAGGUGAGAAAAUUUCAUCAAAAUCAAUACCUUUCUUCUGUUCGAAGCCUUUAACCACCAACCGAGCUUUAUAUCUUAC
rnacentral:lncRNA from 1 species